rnacentral:rRNA from 1 species
GUUGCCAGCGGGUCAUGCCGGGGACUCAUGGGAGACUGCCGGGGUCAACUCGGAGGAAGGUGGGGAUGACGUCAAAUCAUCAUGCCCCUUAUGUCUUGGGCUUCACGCAUGCUACAAUGGCCGGUACAAAGGGCUGCGAUACCGCGAGGUGGAGCGAAUCCCAGAAAGCCGGUCUCAGUUCGGAUUGGGGUCUGCAACUCGACCCCCAUGAAGUCGGAGUCGCUAGUAAUCGCAGAUCAGCAACGCUGCGGUGAAUACGUUCCCGGGCCUU